GCUGGGGGGUAGAUGAUGCCUGGUUGUAGUCCCUGUCACUGAAGAAGCUGAGGCUGGUGGAUCACUUGAGUUCAGGACUUCUGAGUUGCCGUCGGGCUAAAGCCAAUGGAGCGUCUGUACUACAUCUGGCACUAAUAAGCUGAGUUCCUGAGGGUGGAGCGCUACCAGGCUGCCUAAAGAGAAGUGAACUGGCCCAAGUUGGAAACACAAAGAAGGUUAAAGCUUCUGUAACAAUUAGCAUUGGGAUUAGACCCAUGGGUGGCUGCUAUACUUCCAGCCUAGGUGAGAUAGAGAGACCCAGCCUCAA
rnacentral:SRP_RNA from 1 species